GUCUACAGCCAUGCCAUCCUGAAUAAACCCAAUCUCGUCUGAUUUCAGAAGCUAACCAGGGUCGGGCCUGGUUAGUACUUGGAUGAGAAGCCACCUAGGAAGACCAGGUGCCGUAGGCA
rnacentral:rRNA from 1 species